UCCAAUUCUUUUUUCUUUUUCUUCUAGAAGAUGGUUUAAAAACAAUUAUGGACCAAAGAAAAUUAUUUCAUAAUUUUAAAACGUUACUUAAAUAGAUUAAUGUCUUCGUGUAAAAGAGAAAAAUAAGAGUAAAUUGGGAUUCUCUAACUAGUAUGAUUGCAGAGAAAAUCAAUAAAGAAAAAGACAAAAAAGGAAAAGGCAAAGCAUAAGGCUUUGUCCCGCACAGGAAUCCACCAACCAGAAAGUCGGUAUAAAACGACAAAACUCCUUUCGGCAAAGGAAGAUUCUUUGUCUGCCAUCCAGAAAAGAGAAAUAAAAAUCUCAUAUUCAUCCAAAGAAGAUAAGGAAGCUCUAGAUUCCCAAUUGGCCAGAGGAUAAGGACGUUCAACUCCACCUAUGAAGGACACGCCACCUGUCCUCACCUUAUCUUUCAACUUUAUUUCCUUUGUCUAUAAAAGAAAAAGACCUCACCCUUGUUGAGGCAGAAUAUCUUUUAAUUUGCUUUUCCCCACUCUCUCUCCAUGUAAGCUCUCUCUUGUAAUAAAAUUUCUUCAAUAUAUAAAUUAAGUGUUGAAGACUUAUUCUGUUUUGAAGACAUAAAUGUUUAGAAAAUCACUAAAGAAAAAGACAAAAAAGGAAAAGGCAAAGCAUAAGGCUUUGUCCCCCACCGGAAUCCAUCAACCAAAACGUCAGUAUAAAACGACAAGACUUCUUUCGGCAAAGGCAGAUUCUUUGUCUGCCAUCCAGAAUAGAGAAAUAAAAAUCUCAUAUCCAUCCAAAGAAGAUAAGGAAGCUGGAGAUUCCCAAUUGGCCAGAGGAUAAGGACGAUCAACUCCACCCAUGAAGGUCACGCCUCCUGUCCUCACCUUAUCUUUUAUCUUUAUUUCCUUUGUCUAUAAAAGAAAAAGACCUCACACUUGUUAAGGCAGAGUAUCUUUUAAUUUGGUUUUCCCCACUCUCUCUCCAUGUAAGCUCUCUCUUGUAAUAAAAUUUCUUCAAUAUAUAAAUUAAGUGUUGAAGACU